ensembl:snRNA U6 U6 spliceosomal RNA
GUGGUCACUUCGGCAGCACAUAUACUAAAAUUGGAACGAUACAGAGAAGAUUAGCACAUCCCUGGUGCAAGGAUGACAUGCAGAUUCAUGAAGUGUUCCAUAUCUUU